GGACGGGGCCCGCACAAGCGGUGGAGCAUGUGGUUUAAUUCGAAGCAACGCGAAGAACCUUACCAGGUCUUGACAUCCCCUGACAACCCGAGAGAUCGGGCGUUCCCCCUCGGGGGGACAGGGUGACAGGUGGUGCAUGGUUGUCGUCAGCUCGUGUCGUGAGAUGUUGGGUUAAGUCCCGCAACGAGCGCAACCCUCGACCUUAGUUGCCAGCAUUCAGUUGGGCACUCUAAGGUGACUGCCGGCUAAAAGUCGGAGGAAGGUGGGGAUGACGUCAAAUCAUCAUGCCCCUUAUGACCUGGGCUACACACGUGCUACAAUGGGCGGUACAAAGGGUCGCGAACCCGCGAGGGGGAGCCAAUCCCAAAAAGCCGCUCUCAGUUCGGAUUGCAGGCCGCAACUCGACUGCGUGAAGUCGGAAUCGCUAGUAAUCGUGGAUCAGCAUGUCACGGUGAAUACGUUCCCGGGUCUU
rnacentral:rRNA from 1 species